CGCUCGUAUCUCCUGCUGUGUGGUGGGUCUGUCUCUGUCUCUGUCUCUGUCUCUGCGAAGGCGAAGUGCAUUUAUCCCAUUUUCGGUACGUCCUAAUGAGUAGUCUCCGAGUUUAUUCUGCGCUGUGGCAGUCGUGUGUGUCGUCUACUUUUAGUUCCUUCUCUCUGUCCGAUCUGUUCUUUAGUCGGAAAGGACAAAACGUGCGCUAAAUAAAGAUUGUGUGCCUUUUUGGCAUCGCCUUUGCCCUGUGCAUUUCCACAAUCCGUAAGCGUUGAUAGUCAGACAGCCAGAAACGGAACCCAAACGAAACGUCACAUUUGAAAUUCCAAUAUCCGAGAACCCAAGCAAAAGCAUCUCAAUAAUUGUGGCCCCUCCCAGUUCUUAGUGUAUAGAUAAUUGAUAUGCCUAUCAAGAAAAUCCUUCAGGCUCAGAAGUCUUCUGAUAAGCAAAAACUCACCUUUUCCAUCUAGCGUCCAGCAAAGUGGCUCCCAAAGUUACGUAUUCAAUAAAUUGACCUUUUUCAGUGUGUUUAUGAUCCUUCCAGUUCCCGGGCCAGCUGUUGCUUUUGUCGUAUGAUAUUUUGGGGUUUAGCUGGUGUUUGUAGAUGUUGUUGUAGCAUAUACUCGUAUAUAUAUGUAUAUAUAGUAUGUAUAUCGAUUAGCACACACACAAUGGAGCAUUGGCCAUAGCGAUUGCGUUUUGGACAUCGAUUGCGAUUGCGACUGCGACUGCGACUGGUGAAUGGUGUCGUUGAGGCAUUUACUUUUCGCGGACCGCUUGUCGUACUUAAACAAAUGAUAGACACUGACACGAGACAACACCGAAGAACACAGAUUUCUUAUAAUUAUUAAUUUAGGCAAAGGCGGCGGCGUAGGGUGGUGCCGUCGGUUGGUGUGCGUAAUAGGAUAACGGCAACAGCGGCAAACAACAACAACGAUUGACGAUGAUGAUUACAAUUACGAUGACGACGACGACGACAAGUAUUGUACAUAUGUACAGGGGGGAGGCAGAAACACACAAAAAUACACAGACACAAACACACGCACACACACAGAGACACAGAGAACGAGAAAUACACUCACGCGCGAUUAUUGAUAGACAGACAAACGGUUAGAUUAACGCGGAUCGGAUAUCAAAGA